AAAGAUCGAUACCGAGGGGGGCAUGAUGCCCCGGAGAAUUCCUGCGCUGGCAGGCAGUCCGUACCGUGUACUGGCUGAAACUCCCUGUACCUCAACAAGCUGCCACUCCGGCGUGAAGGCAUCGUUCU
rnacentral:sRNA from 29 species